rnacentral:rRNA from 1 species
ACAACGGAGGCGCGAGGGCUGUCGCUGACCUUCAAAGGUCGUGCACGCCCGGGCCCUCUCACAAUCCAUCUCACCCUUUGUGCAUCACCGCGUGGGUCCCCCUUUGCCGGAGGGCUCACGUUUUCACAUAAAACUCGAUACAGUGUAGAAUGUUUAUUUUUGCGGUCACACGCGAUCAAUACAACUUUCAACAACGGAUCUCUUGGCUCUCGCAUCGAUGAAGAACGCAGCGAAAUGCGAUACGUAAUGUGAAUUGCAGAAUUCAGUGAAUCAUCGAAUCUUUGAACGCACCUUGCGCCCCUUGGCAUUCCGAGGGGCACACCCGUUUGAGUGUCGUGAAAUCCUCAAAGCCCUCUUCUUUCGGGAAGAGGUGUUUUGGACUUGGAGGUUCAAUGCUCGCUUUCGUCUUUGAGAGCGAGCUCCUCUCAAAUGAAUCAGUGGGGUCUGCUUUGCUGGUCCUUGACGUGAUAAGAUGUUUCUACGUUUUGGAUUUGGCAUCGUCCCUUNNNGCUCCCGCUCCUAAUCGUCUCAUGGACAAUGAUGGUGCUUCCGGUCACCGCCAAUCCACAUCGGCGGGAGGCUGGACCCACAAAAAAAACCUUGA